rnacentral:rRNA from 1 species
AGAGUUUGAUCCUGGCUCAGGACGAACGCUGGCGGCGUGCUUAACACAUGCAAGUCGAACGAAGCUUGAUUACGGAUUCUUCGGAUGAAGUAUGAUAUGACUGAGUGGCGGACGGGUGAGUAACGCGUGAGUAACCUGCCCUUCAGAGGGGGAUAGCGUUUGGAAACGAACGGUAAUACCGCAUAAUGUAUUUUGACCGCAUGAUCGAAAUACCAAAGAUUUAUCGCUGAAGGAUGGACUCGCGUCUGAUUAGGUAGUUGGUGGGGUAACGGCCUACCAAGCCGACGAUCAGUAGCCGACCUGAGAGGGUGACCGGCCACAUUGGGACUGAGACACGGCCCAGACUCCUACGGGAGGCAGCAGUGGGGAAUAUUGCACAAUGGGCGCAAGCCUGAUGCAGCAACGCCGCGUGAAGGAAGACGGUUUUCGGAUUGUAAACUUCUGUUCUUAGUGAAGAAUAAUGACGGUAGCUAAGGAGCAAGCCACGGCUAACUACGUGCCAGCAGCCGCGGUAAUACGUAGGUGGCAAGCGUUGUCCGGAAUUACUGGGUGUAAAGGGAGCGCAGGCGGGUGAUCAAGUCAGCUGUGAAAACUACGGGCUUAACCCGUAGACUGCAGUUGAAACUGUUCAUCUUGAGUGAAGUAGAGGUUGGCGGAAUUCCGAGUGUAGCGGUGAAAUGCGUAGAUAUUCGGAGGAACACCGGUGGCGAAGGCGGCCAACUGGGCUUUAACUGACGCUGAGGCUCGAAAGUGUGGGGAGCAAACAGGAUUAGAUACCCUGGUAGUCCACACUGUAAACGAUGAUUGCUAGGUGUGGGGGGUCUGACCCCUUCCGUGCCGGAGCUAACGCAAUAAGCAAUCCACCUGGGGAGUACGACCGCAAGGUUGAAACUCAAAGGAAUUGACGGGGGCCCGCACAAGCAGUGGAGUAUGUGGUUUAAUUCGA